AAAUUGAAGAGUUUGAUCAUGGCUCAGAUUGAACGCUGGCGGCAGGCCUAACACAUGCAAGUCGAACGGUAGCACAAAGGAGCUUGCUCCUUGGGUGACGAGUGGCGGAC
rnacentral:rRNA from 1 species